rnacentral:rRNA from 1 species
AGCGAACGCUGGCGGCAGGCCUAACACAUGCAAGUCGAACGGAUCCUUCGGGAUUAGUGGCGGACGGGUGAGUAACACGUGGGAACGUGCCCUUUGGUUCGGAACAACUCAGGGAAACUUGAGCUAAUACCGGAUGUGCCCUUCGGGGGAAAGAUUUAUCGCCAUUGGAGCGGCCCGCGUCUGAUUAGCUAGUUGGUGAGGUAAAGGCUCACCGAGGCGACGAUCAGUAGCUGGUCUGAGAGGAUGAUCAGCCACAUUGGGACUGAGACACGGCCCAAACUCCUACGGGAGGCAGCAGUGGGGAAUCUUGCGCAAUGGGCGAAAGCCUGACGCAGCCAUGCCGCGUGAAUGAUGAAGGUCCUAGGAUUGUAAAAUUCUUUCACCGGGGACGAUAAUGACGGUACCCGGAGGAGAAGCCCCGGCUAACUUCGUGCCAGCCGCCGCCGUAA